ACUCCUACGGGAGGCAGCAGUGGGGAAUAUUGCACAAUGGGCGCAAGCCUGAUGCAGCCAUGCCGCGUGUAUGAAGAAGGCCUUCGGGUUGUAAAGUACUUUCAGCAGUGAGGAAGGUGGGUAUGUUAAUAGCAUACUCAUUUGACGUUAGCUGCAGAAGAAGCACCGGCUAACUCCGUGCCAGCAGCCGCGGUAAUACGGAGGGUGCGAGCGUUAAUCGGAAUUACUGGGCGUAAAGCGCAUGCAGGUGGUUUGUUAAGUCAGAUGUGAAAGCCCGGGGCUCAACCUCGGAAUUGCAUUUGAAACUGGCAAACUAGAGUACUGUAGAGGGGGGUAGAAUUUCAGGUGUAGCGGUGAAAUGCGUAGAGAUCUGAAGGAAUACCGGUGGCGAAGGCGGCCCCCUGGACAGAUACUGACACUCAGAUGCGAAAGCGUGGGGAGCAAACAGGAUUAGAUACCCUGGUAGCGUAA
rnacentral:rRNA from 1 species